AUGGCGGCCAUCUCCUCCACCUCCUACUUCUCGCAGUCGCAGCUUCCGGCGUCCGGAGGCGGCAGCAACGGCCGUCAGCCGCGGAGGCGUCGGGUGGGCAGCUGCGUCAUGCUCGAGGCGGCCUCUGCCUCUGGUAGUGGUGGCGGUGGCGCGGUGGUGGGGAGGACCAGGAGCCUGACGGAGGAGGACCUGGAGGAGCUCACGGGCUGCCUCGACCUCGGCUUCAGCUUCUCCUAUAACGAGAUCCCGGGCCUCUGCGGGACGCUCCCCGGCCUGGAGCUCUGUUACUCCAUGACGCGGAGAUUCCUCGACGAGCAGAGGACGGUGGUCGGGCAGCUGGAGCCCGCAGCGGCGGCGGCGGCGCCCAUCCCGGACUGGAAGAUCUCCGGCCAUGGGGAUAAUCCAGAGGAAGUGAAAGCUAGGCUCAAGUAUUGGGCUCGGACAGUGGCAUGCACGGUCAAACUAUGCAGCUGA
rnacentral:rRNA from 1 species